AAUGAAAUGACUGAAUUUAGGUAAUAAAUUGUAAAUUUAUUUAUGAAACAAAAGUUUCUUUCAUUA
rnacentral:tRNA from 1 species